UACGUAGGGUGCGAGCGUUAAUCGGAAUUACUGGGCGUAAAGCGUGCGCAGGCGGUUUUGUAAGCCAGAUGUGAAAGCCCCGGGCUCAACCUGGGAAUGGCAUUUGGGACUGCAAGGCUUGAGUGCGGCAGAGGAGACUGGAAUUCCUGGUGUAGCAGUGAAAUGCGUAGAUAUCAGGAGGAAUACCGAUGGCGAAGGCAGGUCUCUGGGCCAUAACUGACGCUGAGAAGCGAAAGCAUGGGGAGCGAACAGG
rnacentral:rRNA from 1 species